GAUGAACGCUAGCGGCAGGCCUAACACAUGCAAGUCGAACGGCAGCACAGGAGAGCUUGCUCUCUGGGUGGCGAGUGGCGGACGGGUGAGGAAUACAUCGGAAUCUACUUUUUCGUGGGGGAUAACGAAGGGAAACUUACGCUAAUACCGCAUACGACCUACGGGUGAAAGCAGGGGACCUUCGGGCCUUGCGCGAUUGAAUGAGCCGAUGUCGGAUUAGCUAGUUGGCGGGGUAAAGGCCCACCAAGGCGACGAUCCGUAGCUGGUCUGAGAGGAUGAUCAUCCACACUGGAACUGAGACACGGUCCAGACUCCUACGGGAGGCAGCAGUGGGGAAUAUUGGACAAUGGGCGCAAGCCUGAUCCAGCCAUACCGCGUGGGUGAAGAAGGCCUUCGGGUUGUAAAGCCCUUUUGUUGGGAAAGAAAUCCAGCUGGCUAAUACCCGGUUGGGAUGACGGUACCCAAAGAAUAAGCACCGGCUAACUUCGUGCCAGCCGCCGCCGUAACAC
rnacentral:rRNA from 1 species